AAAGUACUCCCUCCGUCCCAAAAUUCUUGUCUUAGAUUUGUCUAGAUGCGGAUGUAUCAAGUCACAUUUUAGUAUUAGAUACAUCCGUAUCUAGACAAAUCUAAGACAAGAAUUUUGGGACGGAGGGAGGACUUG
rnacentral:pre_miRNA from 1 species